GACGAACGCUGGCGGCGUGCUUAACACAUGCAAGUCGAACGGAAAGGCCCCUUCGGGGGUACUCGAGUGGCGAACGGGUGAGUAACACGUGGGUGAUCUGCCCUGCACUCUGGGAUAAGCCUGGGAAACUGGGUCUAAUACCGGAUAGGACCGCGCGCUUCAUGGUGUGUGGUGGAAAGCUUUUGCGGUGUGGGAUGGGCCCGCGGCCUAUCAGCUUGUUGGUGGGGUAAUGGCCUACCAAGGCGACGACGGGUAGCCGGCCUGAGAGGGUGACCGGCCACACUGGGACUGAGAUACGGCCCAGACUCCUACGGGAGGCAGCAGUGGGGAAUAUUGCACAAUGGGCGCAAGCCUGAUGCAGCGACGCCGCGUGGGGGAUGACGGCCUUCGGGUUGUAAACCUCUUUCAGUAUCGGCGAAGCUCCGUGGUUUUCUGCGGGGUGACGGUAGGUACAGAAGAAGCACCGGCCAACUACGUGC
rnacentral:rRNA from 1 species